ensembl:lncRNA
GAUAAUAUCCAUGAAGGUGACUCCAAGGAAACUAUGACUUCAGAAGGGUAUUUUUCAGAAUUUCAUCUUGAAAUCCUCCUCAGGAUGCACCCUCUCUCAUGACUAGUGAAACCACCAUACGUCACCGGGUCAUCGUGCAUGUCAGUGUUACAAAAACAGCUAUGAAUCGCUUUAAACAAAGCAAAUCCAUCUGUCCGUCUUUCCAUGCUACUUCAAAGCCGCCCGACCAUCUAGAGUCAAACUUCUCUGGAUUAAAUAGGCUACAAGGCUAAAGCCCAGCAAGUGUCUCUUUUAACCUCUAGCAGAUUUUCACAGCCCAGUGGCAAACUCCUCCCAAACAACAUUUCUAAUGGGAGGCUGACAGACUUCUAACUAAAGCAGUUCCAAUGUGCCACUAUAAUAACCUACUUCUUUUGAUUGCAUUUAUUUUUAAUGAUUAUUUUCCCUGCGUGCCAAUCCAACCUGUGCUUCCAGCCCAGAAAGAGGGGGGAGGGGAGGAAGCCAGGACCGAGAACGUUAUCUUGGGCUGCACUGUCACCUAGAGGUACUGCGGAAGAACUGCCGCAUUGCUCUUCUAAGAGCAGUGGCCGCUGUUGAAACAAAGCGGGACCUUCCU